UAGGUCCCAAGGGUAUGGCUGUUCGCCAUUUAAAGUGGUACGCGAGCUGGGUUUAGAACGUCGUGAGACAGUUCGGUCCCUAUCUGCCGUGGGCGCUGGAGAACUGAGGGGGGCUGCUCCUAGUACGAGAGGACCGGAGUGGACGCAUCACUGGUGUUCGGGUUGUCAUGCCAAUGGCACUGCCCGGUAGCUAAAUGCGGAAGAGAUAAGUGCUGAAAGCAUCUAAGCACGAAACUUGCCCCGAGAUGAGUUCUCCCUGAGACUUAGAGUCUCCUGAAGGAACGUUGAAGACGACGACGUUGAUAGGCCGGGUGUGUAAGCGCAGCGAUGCGUUGAGCUAACCGGUACUAAUGAACCGUGAGGCUUAACCUU
rnacentral:rRNA from 1 species